rnacentral:misc_RNA from 1 species
UUUCUUUUGNCCCUUCCCAUCCGACGNUCCUUCCGGGUNGUUGGAGGGNCGCAUAGUAGUCCCCGUGUUCCAUGAGAGCGUCGUGCUGGCGUCGGCUCUCAAGGCCCACGGGGAUCUAUUGGUCUCUCGGAUGCGGUUCACACGGCGGUCGUGUGACGGACGGACGUCACAUUUGUCCAUGCGAAAAUUCGGUUUGCCUGAAUGAUGUCCGUGCCUGCGUCGAUUCGCCCUGCAUAGCUCGGCGAUCUCGUGCAGUGCCCGGCGUCACAGANGGAUGCUACCUGNUUGAUCCUGCCAGNANNCAUAUGCUUGACUCA